rnacentral:lncRNA from 1 species
UUUCUUGUUCUAGUAUAGUUGUAUAUGUUCUCGUAGUAUAGUUGUAUAUAUUCUCUUCCUAGUAUAGACUCAUGAAUGAACUGACUCAUUGAUCUAGCAGUUGUAAUAGUAUGAUUCUGUGUUACCCCGAUGGUAACUUGUUAACAGUGCGUUUAGUACAUAUGAUUAUGGAAGUACUUUUAUGUCUAUAUAUGUAUAUUUGAUAUAUAAUUAAUAUGGAAACGACCUUCGGAUGGUCACCCAAAAUCCUAUCAGACCACAUCCAAAUCGAGGAAAAGGAAACAAGGUGGAUAGCCUUCCUAAGCCCUUUAAACAUUAUUUAUACGUCUAUACAUAUAUGGGCAUGCAAUUUGUAAUAUAAAAGCAUAAAUAAGUAUUUAUAAGGCAUUUGAAACAUAAGUAUUAUUUUUAAAGAAAGAUUGACUUGAUGUCAAUCUAUAAAACCAUUUGAAGGUGUAGAUUUGAUUAAAACAGUUUAAGUAUAAGGAACAUUUGCUUAAAUCACAGUUGCAGUGUAAAUUCGAAAAGUAAAUGGGUUUGGAAAACAUUUAGAAGUAAAACAGUUUGAUAGAUAGUUUGAAUAGUGAUAAAACCACUGAUUUCCCUAGUUAUUAAUCACAUGUGAUUAGUACAAUCACAUGUGAUUGAAACAAUAACUAUAAGUAUUUAACUUGUAUUCCCCCCCUUUUGAAAGCAUAUAAAAGCAUUUAGAAUAUUUAACAGGUUGAUUAAGGGGUAUGAAACUCACUUGAUUGAUUGAAGAAAGCGAGAUGGAAAACCGGGCAGAGUUUCGUCUCGGAAAACGGAUUUUUCUCGGGAUUCUCGGGAAUCUCGGGAGUAAAAUCGACCCUCGGGACUUGAGCAAAAAGACCAGAGCUUCGGGUUAUAACGGGCACGGAAAACGAGACAAAGUUGUGAGAGAGAGGAGAGAAAUGAGCAACAUUUUCGGAAAGCCUCGCAUCCUAUUUAUAGGAAGGCUGAACCGCCUCCGAACGCGGGGCGUACGCUCGUACGCAGCGCGUACGCGUACGUCAUGCAUGACCGAAGCCUCGACUGCCUCGGUUCGGAUGGGACGGGUUGCUGGGUACGCGGGUCGGAUGGGACGGCGGGUCGGACGGGACAGCGGGUCGGACGGGUCGGAGCUUCGGACGGGUCGGACGGGUUAGAACUCUUCGGAUAGUGCGACGUGGACGAUCCGAGACCCUCGAUCUCAGUACGCGGGGCGUACGAAGGUACGCAGGGCGUACUUCGGUCCAAUCCGAUGACUCCCCUUCGGAUAUUACCGGGAAUUUAUAAUUAAAUUCUUAUUUAUUUUAAAUAAACUUCAAAAAUUCAUAUCUCUCUCAUACGAACUCCGUUUUUGACGUUCUUUAUAUCCACGCGAAGGUGAGACCAAGAUCUACAACUUUCGUUUAGAUUCCAUUGGCAAAUUCCGAAAUUAUUUUUAUUAUUUAUUUAUUAAAAUGACGUGUUUAAAGAAUUUCUUCAAAGUGAUGAAAUUCUCUGAACCAAUCACGUAGUCUUCGAAGUGAUGAGUCCAGACUUCAUAAUCUUGAGUGUAUAAUAUAGGAAUCCUUGUCGUCGAUCCUAUACUAUUGGAGAUAUUGAUUGGGUUUGUUUGAGAAUCAUCUGUUUGUUCAAAAACACGCUUAAGAUCAGACUUGUAAAUAACAUUAGGGUAAGAUCGACUAUUAAAGAACUACGUCAAUAGAAGAUGACGGGUCCAACAAUAUCGAUCAAAGCGGAAACCGUAAGAUCUUCUUCAACAGAAGAGAUGUGCAUGAAUUACACAGUCUCCUGCUCUGAUACCAAUUGAUGAGUUAAAAACUAUUAGAUCGAUUAGAUCUUCAGCAGGUUAAUCAAUAAAAACAAACAAACACACACGAGAUGGAAUCAAAUUAUUGCUUAAUGAUUCAAGAAUAGUCACGCCUCAGCAGAGCUCGAUGAAGAACAUCCACUGUAGAGGCGAGCUAGGGUUUGUAGUACAAUUAUGAGAAUAAUAGUAAAAGUGAUAAUGACAAAGGACACAUGCAUGCACCUUAAAUACCAAACCCUAAUAAAAAUAAACACGGUUGUAUAGGCCCAAACCGGUAACAAAACUGGGCUAAGGAGCGAGCCAAAGACGGAACACUUCGGCUCCCAACAAGUUUUAAUCGGAUUUGAAACUCCUAGAUCUUUUGAGAUACAUUGAAUUUUCAAUGGGAUGUUUAAAUCUCGAUUGUUGCCUCUCAAGUUUGUGACUGGGAUGUCGAGGAUCACAAACAAGGUGUGAAUAACCAUGCAAAUUGACUUGGUACCCUUAAUUUAUCACCUAAUCGAUGUGCCGGUUAACCACACGCGCUCCAUCGAUCUAUGAUAAAACUUAAGUCACCCUUUGCCACUCUUACUAGUCGUUAUUAGUGUGCCGAUUAACCACACACGCUCCACUUACUUUAUAAUUUCAUUAUACUUUUAAUGAGGAUUAAGGUCCUAUCCUACCCAUUCGGCUAACGACCCUCCACCAAUCAAGGAAGCGGUGGGUGAGAGUGGACACCCAUUAAACCGCCAUUUUAUAGGUAGUAACCUUAUGCCCUCCCUUAUAGACCCGCUUCAUGAAUGAGGCCUAUUAACGGUAAGACUGACUUAUUCUUAUACAUAUGUAUAAUAAUUAAACUUUUAAUAUUAUAGAAGUAUAAGGGUUGAAUUUUAAACUUUUAAAAUUCUAAGGUUCAAUUUGGAAUUAAAGUAUUUAAUGUGUGAAACUUUACAAAUUCUAAGGGCAAGUUUUGAAACUAUUCAAGACUUUUCAACUUCAUAACUUAUGAGUUAAUGGUUUAUUAAAAUGAGUGACCUUUCAUUUUAAGUAACCUAUGUGUUUUAAUAUGGACUUUAAAAGAGUGACUUUUGGUAAUCCAUAACUUGACGACAAAUUAUGGAUUCCAUUAAAACACAUAAUUGAUCAAGAAUUAAUCAUCAAGCAAUUCAGCAAAUAGUUCAUAUGAUCUAACAAUAACUCAUAAAAACAUGAACAUCAAUAUAAAAAUUUCAAGAAUCAUAUUAACACAUAUAAAGCAUGGAAUUUUGAUAUUAGCCAUUGUAAACGGAUUAGCAUAAACAUUACACCAUCAAAAACAAGUUUUAAAACACCAAAACUUGAAAAACUGCACUCUAACAAGCCAACUCGCCGAGAGCAUGAACUGACUCAUCGAGUUGAUUGAAUAUAGGCAUGGAUUCAUCGAGCCCCCCAAGGACUCGACGAUUCCACUCAGCAGAAUGCAUAAAACAUGAGUUUUUUCAACUAUUUGCAUCAAGUAUCAAGAAAACAAGCCUAGGUUCUGAUAUCACUGCUGUGUUUUGAGCAUACUAACACUCCUAUGGUGUACAUGCAACCCUACAGACCUUGGAUCUAUGUUUUCUCUAAAAUACAUGCAAAUUUGCUUAACAAGGUGUACAACCUAACUAGCAUGUUAUGGGGUACUUGUAAUACAAAACUUUAAGUAGAAUAACAUACCUUUCUUUUGUGAUUGAAUGCUUGGAGUUUUAGAGCCUAGAACCAAUAGUGUGGAUGCCUCAAGUGGUGUGACAAAUCACCUAAAACAACUUGGAAAUACUUGAGCGAAUCUAAUGCUUGCUAGAAUCGGCCAACCCUUGUUUCUCACACACACUAGUGCCAAUUCUAGAACUAACGACUUCUUUACAUACUAUGGAGGAUUAGGGUUACACCCUAAUACCCAUGACUCUUCAUUUACCUAGGAUCCAUGGGUUAAAAGCUCUGUGGACUAUCCAUGGACUUCCAUAUACUCUUAGCCCAUCCUAAAUAAAUCUUAGACAUAUCCAUAUAUAUGUAAGAGUCCAUACUUAAUUAGCCUCUUUUGAUUACUAAAUUAAUUCCAAAAUUAAUUCUUGAUCAAUACUAAUUAAAAAAUAUUAAUAUAUUAUAAUUUAUAAUAUAUUAAUGGAUCAUAAACAUCUUAUUUCUCAAAAAUAUAUCCUUACAAAUUGUUAGGUGAAGUGCAACACAAAUGAACCAUGCCGGGUCAGGUCAAGUUCAUACAAAAUAUAGUUACGGACAUAGACACCUUAUCCAAGAAAAAGAUCUUCUAUAUACCACUUUUUCUUGAAGAUAUCUUAACUUUAAUGGCUGCUUCUAAUCCUCAAUGCAAAUAGCAAAUAGUGUGGGUUGCCUUACUCGUGCCCCACUACUAGUUGUUGAAUAAUAUGAUCAUUGGAAUGUCAGAAUGGAAAGGUUUUUACCGGCUAAAGAGAGAGGUGAAGAUAUCUGGAGAUCCGUUAAAGAAGGUCCUCAUGUUCUAGUUAGAAGAACAGUUAGAGAUGCUACUGCUCAGCUCAUGGGUCAUGAUGAACAACAUCCAUCUGCUCUCACUACUAAUGAUAUUGAGAAGCUACAUGCUGAUCAAGGGGCAUUUUCCGAAAUGGUGUUUGGUGUUCCACCAUCUAUCUUUGAACACAUUUAGCUAUGUAAAUCUGUCAAAGAGAUUUUGGACACUCUUCAGGAUCUGAUCGAAGUCUUGGAAAAUAUGAAAGACAAGCGUCUGACAUCUGUUGUAAACGAGUUUAACACCUUCACAAUAACUCCCGGUGAAUCAGUUGCCUCAGCCUCCAACCGAUACCGAAUUGUAGUCAACAACAUGAUUACUCAUGGGAUUGUCCGGAAUCCCUUUGAGUACAAUCUUGAGUUCAUAAACAACCUUGGUAAAGGACGGGGAAAUGUGAAAUCUUGUCUUCAAAGUAAUGGAUCUCUGAAAAAGAUGAAGCUUUACCAACUAUUUGAUGAACUUCAAGGUCAUGAAUCAAACGUUGCUCAGACCUUAAGAGAACUCUCCGGAGGUCCUCUUGCUCUCGUUAGUUCAUUUGAACCAUCUAUUAAAAACCCAUCCAUUUCGGACCCUCUCAAAUCAAUUUUUCCACCUGUUCAACACUCCUUACCUAUCUUAUCUACUCAGAAGUAUCCUACUGACGGUAAUCUUGAUUCCGAAGCGAUGGAAUCUGAACUCCGUUUCCAACAUGAGUUCGCAAAACUCUGCAUGAAAUAAAAACAUCCAUUUAAUCCCUCUCAUAAACCACAUCACAAUCAUUUUCAUGCUCCACAUCAAAACAAUCCUCAACCAUACUCUGCAUUGCAACAUCAAUCCACUCUGGAAAACCCACCAGCCUACAAACUUGUAUGUCACACCCCAAAACCAAGAAUGGCGGAAACGUUCUGGGGCGGAGGACGUCAUGUAUAGUAUCACAACACAGUAAACGUUAAUAAGCAAACAACAUCAUCCAUUGCAUUAAAUAUAUAAUUUUAAUACAAGAGUGUUGUGUACAGUUAUAGACACCAAAAAUAAUGUAACACAAAAUAAUAUGAGAUGAGUCUUGAAUGCACUCCAUCUUCUCAAAAGCUGCCCUCGGUACCUGUCUACUGAUGACCUGAGAAUACAAGUUAUUUUGAAAGAGUUUAUCAGCAUUAAGCUGGCGAGUUCAUAAGUAUUUUAGUGUCAAUGUUUAUUGUCAAAAACGUUUGAACCUAUCUCAAUGUAUAAGUUUGUAAAAAUAUAAGUAAAUGUUUGAAAGUGUUUGUAAAAGUUUGAAUCUCUCAGAAAAUCCUAUAUUUUCUAUAAAAGUAACCUUCCCAAGUGUGUAAUUUCCCAAGUGUAACUAUCAUUUAAUAAAAUAUAGUUUGUACAUUAAUGCUUAAGUGAGAUUAUCACUAAAAUAUGUAAUGGGUAAAUCAUUGUAGUACUGUAGUUUUGUAUAAUAACAACUACUGUUGUACUAACUACUACUACCUUAAACCAGAUUUAUAUUAAGGUAUAUUGUGAUAAAUUGCACCAUGCUAUCGACUGGUAACAACGACAUAAUGAAUGGUCGUAAUAAAGGAAUGACGUUUGGCACCCGCAGACCUGCAAGUCCGGCUGUAGCUAGCAGCAAGGUGUAGGAUAGUCAAUCCCAUUUAAGUNAGUAUAGUUGUAUAUGUCCUGUUUCUAGUAUAGAUGUAUAUGUACAUGUUUCUAGUAUAGUUGUGUAUGUUCAUGUUUCUAGUAUAACUAUAUAUGUACAUGCUUCUGGUAUAGCUGUAUAUGUUCUUGUGUUACCCCGAUGGUAACUAACUAUUGAUGUACUGAUAAGUAUGGAUAUGGAAGUACUUUUAUGUCUAUACAUGUAUAUAUGAUAUAUAAGUAAUAUGAAACGACCUUCGAAUGGUCACCCGAAAUCCCACCAGACCACAUCCAAAUCGAGAAAAAGGAAAUAGGGUGGAUGGCCUUCCUAAGCCCUUUAAACAUUAUUUAUAUAUCUAUACAUAUAUGGGCAUGCAAUUGUAUAUAUAAAAGCAUAAAUAAGUUUUCAUAAGACAUUUGAAGCAUAAAUAUAAUUUCA